rnacentral:lncRNA from 1 species
GGAAAUUCAAUUACAUAAACUAUGUAAAAAAAAGAAUUAAUCUCACAGCUUCUGCUCCUUGGUUUGUCAGAACCAAAGAGCCACCUCCAUUUGUCUCGGUAUUCAUAUCUCUAAAGCACUGGUGUUGGUGUUUUCCUAAAGUCAUACAAACAAUUACAUAUCAAAGAAAAUUUCAUGAUUUGUUUCACUAAUUCUACUUAAAGACAGUGAGUAAUCUAACAUAUAGCCUCAUAAGCUAAGAAAUUGUGGUGGAAUUAGUAAUUUCAAGAGUAAAUUACACGAAUGGUCCCUAUGGUUUGGGGUAAUUUGCACGUUUAGUUCCUAACUUAUUUUUUUAACUCGGAAGGUCCUAUUGUUUGUUUUUGUUAUGCGUUUGGUCCCUACUGUUUGUUUUUAUUACACGUUUGGUCCCUAUCAUACCUAAAAGACUAUUAUUUAAAUAGAGAAAAAUGACGGGGUAAGUAAGGUAAGGUGAAUGAGGUGGGAUUGAGGGUGUGUUUAUUUAAAUAAAUCAAAAAAUCAAGGGAAAAAUAAUAGUUUUAGGUAAGUCAGGGACCAAACGCGUAACAAAAACAAACAGUAAGAACUUCCAAGUUAAAAAAAUAAGUUCGGGAUCAAACGCGCAAAUUAACCUAUACCGGACUGAAAAUUUGAAGUGUGGAAACAACAAAAUAUGAAAUCUACAUCAUAGUCAUGUAAACGUUUUUAAUAUGGUUUGAAAUGGACAAAAAAAAAGGUGAAGAAAAAUUAAUCAUUCCUUAAGAACAUGUUCAAUCCAAGAUAAAAACGCAUUCCUCAAAUUUACGUAAAGAUAUUCACAAAAAAUGAACAAAUACAUCAUGUAGAUUAUCAAUAAAAGGAAAGAGCAUACCUUACAGAAGUUCGAUUGAUGAAGAAUCUGUCGCCGUAUCCGUAAUCGGAAAAACCCUAAAACGCAACGCUCGUAAUAAACCCUAAAAGCCGGCGACCAAGAGUCUUCGCAGUAAGGGAUUCAUAGCUUCAGCUCCAUGGAAGAUGCGAA